AAAAAAGGGCGCAUGGCGGAUGCCUUGGCUCUCGGAGGCGAUGAAGGACGUGAUAAGCUGCGAUAAGCUUUGGGGAGGUGCAAAUGACCUUUGAUCCAGAGAUUUCCGAAUGGGACAACCCAAUAUCUUGAAGAGGUAUUAUCUUACUAUGUAAGAGGCUAACGCAGGGAACUGAAACAUCUUAGUACCUGCAGGAAAAGAAAAUAAACAAUGAUUCCCCCAGUAGUGGCGAGCGAACGGGGAACAGCCCAAACCAUCCAUGUUACGGCAUGGGUGGGGUUGUAGGACUACGCCGUUGCAUGAAGACAUCAGAGAAGAACUUUCUGGAAAGAAAGACCAUAGAGCAUGACAGUUGCGUAUUCGAAUGUUGUCGAAGCAUAGUAGUAUCCUGAGUAGCGCGGAGCACGAGGAAUUCUGCGUGAAUCUGCCGGGACCAUCCGGUAAGGCUAAAUACUCCCGAGAGACCGAUAGCGAACCAGUACCGUGAGGGAAAGGUGAAAAGCACUUCGAACAGAAGAGUGAAAUAGUUCCUGAAACCGUGCGCCUACAAGCGGUCGGAGCUCGUUAAUGAGUGACGGCGUGCCUUUUGCAUAAUGAACCUACGAGUUGCCUUUGCCGGCAAGGUUAAGUGUGACGACACACGUAUCCGAAGCGAAAGCGAGUCUGAACAGGGCGUAUAGUCGGCAGUGGCAGACGCGAAACCAAGUGAUCUACCCUUGGCCAGGUUGAAGGCUGGGUAACACCAGCUGGAGGACCGCACCAAUAAGCGUUGAAAAGCUUCUGGAUGAGCUGAGGGUAGGGGUGAAAGGCUAAUCAAACUUGGAGAUAGCUCGUACUCCCCGAAAUGCAUUUAGGUGCAGCCUUGCGGGUUACUGAUGUGAGGUAGAGCGACUGAUAAGAUGCGAGGGCUUCACCGCCUAUCAAGUCUUGACAAACUCCGAAUGCGCAUCAGUUCUACCGCAGGAGUGAGGGCAUGGGUGCUAAGGUCCGUGCCCGAGAGGAGAAGAAUCCGGACCACCUGCUAAGGUCCCGAAAUGACAGCUAAGUUAAACUAACGAAGUCUGACUGCUAAGACAGCUAGGAUGUUGGCUUGGAAGCAGCCAUUCAUUUAAAGAGUGCGUAACAGCUCACUAGUCGAGGAGUCGGGCGUGGAUAAUAAUCGGGUAUCAAGUUGUCUACCGAAGCAGUGGGAUCAUUAAUAUGAUCGGUAGGGGAGCAUUCCAGUCAGCGUCGAAGGCGUACCGUGAGGUAUUCUGGAGCGUCUGGAAAAGCAAAUGUAGGUAUAAGUAACGAUAAAGGGGGCGGGAAACCCCCUCGCCGAAAGACUAAGGUUUCCUGAUCAACGCUAAUCGGAUCAGGGUCAGUCGGGUCCUAAGGCUCAGCCGAACGGCGAUGCCGAUGGCAGAAACGGUUAAUAUUCCGUUACUACCUUCAGGAGUGACGUGGAGACGCAGUAGUGACAGUGCCGCCAUCUGACGGAAUAGAUGGUUGAAGGGUGUAGGAGUCGAUCAUGGCAGGCAAAUCCACCAUGAGAUCCGAACCUGACAGUAUGCCGCGUCCUUCGGGACAAGGCAAUAGUGCGCGUAAGCAUGCUGCCGAGAAAAUCCGCUAAACUUAAUCCUGCAGGUACCCGUACCGCAAACGGACACACGUAGUCGGGAUGAAUAUUCUAAGGCGCUUGAGUGAUUCACGGUUAAGGAACUAGGCAAACUGACCCUGUAACUUCGGGAUAAAGGGUCCCUACCCUUUUAUGGGAGGGCGCAGAGAAUCGGUCCAGGCAACUGUUUAACAAAAACACAGGGCUGUGCCAAAUCGAAAGAUCCAGUAUACAGCCUGACACCUGCCCGGUGCUGGAAGGUUAAGAGGAGAUGUCAUCGAUAAGAGAAGCGUUGAAUUGAAGCCCCAGUAAACGGCGGCCGUAACUAUAACGGUCCUAAGGUAGCGAAAUUCCUUGUCGGGUAAGUUCCGACCUGCACGAAUGGUGUAAUGAUCUGGACGCUGUCUCAACCGUGAGCUCAGUGAAAUUGUAGUAUCGGUGAAGAUGCCGAUUACCCGCGAUGGGACGAAAAGACCCCGUGAACCUUUACUAUAGCUUAUCAUUGAAUCUGGGCACGUGAUGUGUAGGAUAGGUCGGAGGCUUUGAAGCAGGUACGCCAGUAUUUGUGGAGCCGCUGUUGAAAUACGACCCUUUAUUUGUUUGGAUUCUAACCCGUGGAUACGGGGACAUUGAUUGGUGGGUAGUUUGACUGGGGUGGUCGCCUCCAAAAGCGUAACGGAGGCUUCUAAAGGUGCCCUCCGGCCGAUUGGUAACCGGCCUUAGAGUGUAAUGGCAUAAGGGCGCUUGACUGGGAGACUAACAAGUCGAUCAGGUAGGAAACUAGAGCAUAGUGAUCCGGUGUUUCCGUAUGGAAGGGACAUCGCUCAAAGGAUAAAAGGUACUCCGGGGAUAACAGGCUGAUCCCUCCCAAGAGCUCAUAUCGACGGAGUGGUUUGGCACCUCGAUGUCGGCUCGUCACAUCCUGGGGCUGGAGAAGGUCCCAAGGGUUGGGCUGUUCGCCCAUUAAAGUGGCACGCGAGCUGGGUUCAGAACGUCGUGAGACAGUUCGGUCUCUAUCUAUCGUGGGCGUAUGAAAUUUGCGUGGCUCUGACACUAGUACGAGAGGACCGUGUUGGACAGACCUCUGGUUUGCCGGUUGUGCCGCCAGGUGCAUUGCCGGGUAUCUAAGUCUGGAUCGGAUAAGUGCUGAAAGCAUCUAAGUACGAAGCCGGCCACAAGAUUAGAUUUCUCAGGGUCGUUGUAGACUACGACGUUGAUAGGAUGCAGGUGUAA
rnacentral:rRNA from 2 species